GCGUCGGUGGCGGAGUGGUCAAUCGCAUUAGACUGUAAAUCUAACGGAUUUAUCCUACGCAGGUUCAAAUCCUGCCCGGCGCACCA
rnacentral:tRNA from 1 species